rnacentral:snRNA from 1 species
CAGCCUGCCCACCCUGGA